AUAAGCUUAUUUUGCUAAUGUUGCAGAGAAACAUUAUCAUGCACGAAAAUAUCUUUCAAAAUUUCUUUUGUAGGAUGCUUCUAUUGAUCUGUCGGAGGUCUUCAACAGGGUUGUUUCUUCUGUUUGCAUUUUACUAACCAAAGAUGAGCUUGUAAUCACCAUGCAUGGAUGCACUACUGCUACAUGUGAUAAAGUGAAGCAGUCAGCAGAAGGUGCAAUUCAGGUUGUCAUUGAGUUCAUUACAAGAAGAGGCAACAAGUUGAAUGAAACUGAUGUUUCAAGGUAGGACUUGAGGGGAGUGCUAAUGGACAAUGGUGGUUGGAUGUUAUCAGGAAGGCCCUCGAAUAAGGAACGACAUUUGAACGUGUAGGAUCUAAGCAGUUGGCUGGUUUGCUUAUAUCAGCAGGCCUCAGAGCUGGUUCCCAUGGGUUUUACCAGUGCUAGCCAACUCCAUGCAUAGAGGCUCAAAACCAUUCAGAUAACUUCAGGGUCAAGAGAACUUGACAAGAUCUUAG